rnacentral:tRNA from 1 species
GGGGUUGUGGCUCAGUGGUAGAGCACUUGCCUGGCAAGUAUGAGGCACUGGGUUCAAUUCUCAGCACCA